rnacentral:lncRNA from 1 species
GAAAAGAUACUUUGAAAAAAUAACAAAAAAAUGUCCAUUGUAGGGCUUGAACUAAAAUGAAUCAUUAAUGUGACUGCAUAUGAUAUUAUGUAAAAUGAUCUUGGAAAAAUUGUUAAAGAAUUAUUUUAUGGAGUAUAUGUUAAUCCCAUGAGUUUCCUAACAUUGGUACCAGAACAUUUUGGUUAAUUACAUGUUUAAUUUUGUUCUAAUUUACAUUUUUAUUAAAUUUUUUACU